ACACAUAUUCACAUGAGUAGAGAGAACUGAGCAGCACGGGCGAGAGGGAGAAGUGAGAAUGGCCAGGACGGGUAAGAGUUGUUGUGCCUUCAAGGGAAACAGGUUUUUCAGGCCUCCUGACUUUAGAUGAAGGAAGAUAAAUAAACAGGACAGGUUUCAGCCGUGAAGACUCCGACGCCAACAACGAUAAAAGAGUCUAAAGAAUAUAUACUAACCGCCACCGGGAACUUCGUGUCAGCCAGCAGUGACAUCCAAAUCUGUCAAUCAAACCUCCACGAGCCGGAUUAUCAAAAUCACUCUCUGGGCGUUUUUUCAACUCAAGUCGAGUCUAAAAAAAACCCCAGAAUAAUCAAAUGUCUGAAUUAUUAUAGUUAUGUUGUUCAAUAAACAAUGUAGAACCAAUGUAAAGUAUCUCCCUUUGUCUUUUAUGCCUCACUCACACACACACACACACACACACACACACACACACACACACACUCUCGCUCUCUCUCUCUCUCUCUCUCUCUCUCUCAGAAGUGGGAAGUAACAAUGUGAAAUCACUUAAAUCUAGUUUUCACUUAAACUUAGAUUUACUUUCACCUCAUAAUUGUGACUUUUACUCAGAUUUGAAAAGAACAAUCUCUAGAUUUCUAUUCAUUACAUUUUCUACACCAC
ensembl:lncRNA